rnacentral:rRNA from 1 species
UAUAGAUGGAUCCGCGCUGCAUUAGCUAGUUGGUAAGGUAACGGCUUACCAAGGCAACGAUGCAUAGCCGACCUGAGAGGGUGAUCGGCCACACUGGAACUGAGACACGGUCCAGACUCCUACGGGAGGCAGCAGUAGGGAAUCUUCCGCAAUGGGCGAAAGCCUGACGGAGCAACGCCGCGUGAGUGAUGAAGGUCUUCGGAUCGUAAAACUCUGUUAUUAGGGAAGAACAUAUGUGUAAGUAACUGUGCACAUCUUGACGGUACCUAAUCAGAAAGCCACGGCUAACUACGUGCCAGCAGCCGCGGUAAUACGUAGGUGGCAAGCGUUAUCCGGAAUUAUUGGGCGUAAAGCGCGCGUAGGCGGUUUUUUAAGUCUGAUGUGAAAGCCCACGGCUCAACCGUGGAGGGUCAUUGGAAACUGGAAAACUUGAGUGCAGAAGAGGAAAGUGGAAUUCCAUGUGUAGCGGUGAAAUGCGC